rnacentral:tRNA from 1 species
GCGGAAGUGGCGGAACGGCAGACGCGCUAGCUUCAGGAGCUAGUGAGCUUCGGCUCGUGGGGGUUCAAAUCCCCCCUUCCGCACCA